CCUACGGGGGGCAGCAGUGGGGAAUAUUGGGCAAUGGGCGCAAGCCUGACCCAGCAACGCCGCGUGAAGGAAGAAGGCUUUCGGGUUGUAAACUUCUUUUCUCAGGGACGAAGCAAGUGACGGUACCUGAGGAAUAAGCCACGGCUAACUACGUGCCAGCAGCCGCGGUAAUACGUAGGUGGCAAGCGUUAUCCGGAUUUACUGGGUGUAAAGGGCGUGUAGGCGGGAAAGCAAGUCAGAUGUGAAAACCAUGGGCUCAACCUGUGGCCUGCAUUUGAAACUGUUUUUCUUGAGUACUGGAGAGGCAGACGGAAUUCCUAGUGUAGCGGUGAAAUGCGUAGAUAUUAGGAGGAACACCAGUGGCGAAGGCGGUCUGCUGGACAGCAACUGACGCUGAGGCGCGAAAGCGUGGGGAGCAAACAGGAUUAGAUACCCGGGU
rnacentral:rRNA from 1 species